rnacentral:lncRNA from 1 species
CCAUCAUCCUGCUAUUUAUUCCGGCAAAGUACAAGAGCAAGAUGCGCAAAGGCAAGGCCUGGAUUCCCAACAAAGAUGAAUCCAUCAAAAUAAUGCAACCUCCGAUAAUGAUCUCAAUAUUCCAUGUGACACUUUACUCCCAACUCUUACGACACAAUUGGAGAAAGAAAUAAGUUACACAAAAAGCAACAAGUAAUGCAAAUUCCCGAAUUCACAUUUAAAUUAGAUAAGAAAGUAGGAAAACUAAAAUAUUGAAGCAA